UUCCAGCGCAGAGCAGGGAGGAAGCAGGGGGUGGGGGAGUGUCUCCCAUUUCAGCAGAAAUUGACAAGAUGAUGGUGGUGGUGCGAGGAUCCAGCUCUCCCUCCUGAUCCCUUUCGCGGAUUAUGCAUCAGAGCGCUCUUAAAAAUUCUUAUUUUAACCAAAUGGUGGCAGCAAAUAUCUUGCGGGUUUUGAAGGGGAGGUGGGGGAGGAAGCAACCUGGCAGAUCCACGAUUUCUCAGGAUUCCCAGAGCUGCUGCUGCGCAUGAGGAGCUGCAGGUCUUGCUGGCUGGCUUGCUGCUGCUGCUGCUGCCCCCGGUCUGAAAGAAGGAGAAAAGGGCUAUCAUUGGAGGGCUUGCAGUGCCAAAAAAUGUUGACCAGCCCGGCAAGGUCAGAGGUCCUGGACCGCGGGAGACCAAGGGUAUCUAACCUGCAUGCCUGUCACUACCCUGAAGGGCGAAAUCUGUGGGGUUUUGUGGAGCGAGACAUGUCUACUUUCCCAAUGUCUACUUUCAAUACUCGAAAUUAGACUUGUCAACGGCUAAAGAUGAAGGCUGCCAUAUAUAUACAGGCAAAAGGAAAGCAAAAUAAAGUAAUGGCAAGGCAAAGUCCCCGAUUAAUUGAUUGAAAUGAUUCCUAGGUUGAUGCUACCUAUAAAUGUUCCAAAAACAAAGCACCUUCACAACUGGCGAUGCACUCAAGCCACAACUGUUUCCAUUCAGUGUUCUCCCUGUAUUGUUAAUUAUGCAUUGUGUAAUGCCAUAGUCAGGUAAACCACGCUUACGGCGUCAGUGUCAUGUUAUAUAAGACGACACGAGAAGGCCAUGCCUCUGUUUUUCCACAGACAGAACAAAAUGGUGAGGAUUCCUAUGUACAGUGCAGCGAGCUGCGCUUUUUUUUUUUUAACCAUCUGAGGCUGCAUAGGUACCAGCGGCAUUAGGGAGUUGAGCAGCAAUAUGUAUAAAGACACACGUUCAUUCUGAUGGUCUGUAGAAGUAUAAUGAGCUUCUUUGAAUUGGCAGAUACACAGAACAAAGCCCUGCCCCCCCCCCCCACUUUAUUUCGCAGUAGCUAGAGGCAGCAGUGCGAGUGAUCGGGCAUGUGCUGUAAGAGACCAGGCUUAUGAGCUGAUGCAUUAAAAUCAGAGACAAGAACAUUCAGAUAACGUGAGGUCUCUCUGGGCAUGCUAUACAUAUUGGCAUAUAUACACGUGUGUACACGCGCCUGAAUGCGUUUAAAAUGAAGUUGGCUAAGGAGGCAAGCCUUGGCUCUUAUUUAUUUUGACGCUGCCUUCAGGAUCCAUUGAAUUCAAUGGGACUUCUGCUACUAUUCACCUCCUGCACUUAAAAAGAGAAUGACUUGUUUUCCUCUAUCAGUUACGACGUAGAUCAAGAAACACACCUGUGUCGUUUUGCAGAUCGAUAGCCUUUGGAGCCCUCAUGACGUGAAAACAGCUAACGUCACAAGGAUGACCUUGCUGAUCAUUAAACACAGAAAGGAUCGCCCUCCCUGCUUCUCCUUUGCUUUGCAGGUGUCUAGGAAAUCCACACGUUAUUCGAAAUAUCUUCACAUGGAAGAAUUAUCAGUUGCUUUCAAUGGGAUUUCCAAUUACGUGUGUUUAAGACUAAGGUGUUGUUAAGGCAGCGUAGAAAACCCCUGACGUCUCUGAAUGUCUACAGUGCCUAUGAAUCAAUUGUUCUCUCCAGGUAUUCUUUACAAUUCCGUAUUUCCGUAAAAUAAACCGCAUUUGGUUAAGCAGCAGAUGCAGCCUUUGGCAAUGCUAAACUGCCCACACCGCCAUGUUGCUGGGUUUUGUUUUGUUUUUCAUUAUAGGCAUUUCCAGUAAGUGGGUUAGCCUUAUUUUAAAAUAAAAAUUCGCCGAGAACGAUGGAAUCGCCAUUUUAAAGCAAUCUGCGUUAUUUGAAAGAUCCUGAACUCUAACUAGGCUCUCUAAUAAAUGGCCUGUAGAUUUGGAUGUGAUUGCCAUGCUUGUUUUCUAAUCUCUUUAUGGGUCUCCAGAUGGUUGUGACGUAAAGGCGGAGAAUCCUGCAAGGGGUUCCUUUGGAAUAAACAAGCGCUGUUAACCUGA